rnacentral:rRNA from 1 species
UACGUAGGGGGGCAAGCGUUGUCCGGAAUCAUUGGGCGUAAAGCGCGUGUAGGCGGUUCGGUAAGUCUGCUGUGAAAGUCCAGGGCUCAACCCUGGGAUGCCGGUGGAUACUGUCGGACUAGAGUACGGAAGAGGCGAGUGGAAUUCCCGGUGUAGCGGUGAAAAUGCGCAGAUAUCGGGGAGGAACACCAAUUCGAAGGCAGCUCGCUGGGACGUCACUGACGCU